AUGGCCGGGCCGGGCCGGGCUUGGGCCUGGGUUUUUUGCGUCGGGCUUCGGUUGGCCCGGCCCGAGGAAUGGCCAGAUCGAUCGGCCAUGUCUGUGGUGUCGACGUCGGAUCUCAGCUCGCUGGAGGCGAUGCUGAACUCGCUGAUGGGGAGGUCCGGAGGAGGAGAGGUAACGCAAAUGGACGACAACGACGAAGAGGGUGAAGAGGAGGAGGAAGCCCUCGAGUCGCCACCGCCACCGCCGCCGCCGCCGUUGCCCGUGCUGCCGACCCUGCGAGGCCGUCUCCCGUCGCUGCGGAGGGUCCCUGGGGCCGCCGCCGCGGGGCCGUGGACCCCGCCGUCGCCACCGCCACCUCACAAGGGGGGCGAGGACGACGCUGCUGCGGAGGUUUCAGGCUCGGUGGCGGAGCUGGAGAGGAAGGCGGCGGAGGCGGAGGCGCGGCUGCGGCAGAAAGAGGAGGAGAACGCGGCGCUGAGGCGGCGGAUUGAGAGCUACCACAUCAGGUGGCUGGAGUACGAGAUCAGGAUCAAGUCCCUCGAGGAGGAUUUCCACGAGCAACUGGCGUCUCUGCAGAUGGCUCGGGACGCUGCACGGAUUGCUCAAGAGUUACCCUACGUCGACCUCCAUGAAUUCUCCGAGCCUCGCAUGAUGAAGCUGCCCGGUGAGGAGGCAUCGCCGAGGCUGCGGCAGGCAGGCAGCCGCCGCAGUGCGGACGGCGGCAGACGAAUUAGUGCUGUGGGCCGGCUCGGCGCGGAGUUCCGGCGGGGGAGCCAGGCGCUCGAGAAGGGCGUGGCGGCGCUGACCGUCGAGCAGAGGCCGUGGCAGCCCGGCGUCCCGAGCGCGGGCUCCUUCGGUGACCUGAGGAAACUCAAGGCGCAGUUCCGCUCGUGGAAGAAAGAUUACAAGGUCCGGCUGCGCAAGGCCAAGGCGGAGAUGGACAGGGACAGAAGGCGUCAGAGCAGCUGCUGGAUUUGA
rnacentral:rRNA from 1 species